GGGUCACACGGUCUUGAAAAUGUAAUUUUUUUUUUGCAAAUAUUGCCCCCGGAUGACACUGGUUCUAUUAAAAAUUGUAAAAUAUAUUUUUUUUAAAUUUUCCCAUAACUUGGGUCGUAACUUUGGUUCUAGUACUCAGAUUGCUUUCAUUUUUGUUUUAAAAGUUUCCCUGGAACAUUCCUAAGCUUCCGGUGAAAAAAUCAAGCAAAUCCGUGCACUAGAACCUUUUUUAUCCAGACUUUUCCGAGGCAUGUCAUGUAUGCAAGAAGAAAUUCAUAAUCCUUGGAUAACUUGGGUCAUAACUUAGGUUCUAGUGCUCAGAUUGCUUUGAUUUUUGUCUUAAAAGUUUCUUUGGAACAUUCUUAAGCUUCCAGUGAAAAAAUCAAGCAAAUCCAUGCACUAAAACCUUUUUUAUCCAGACUUUUCCGAGGCAUGUCAUGUAUGCAAGAAAUUUAUAACCCUUGGAUAACUUGGGUCAUAACUUAGGAUCUAGUGCUCAGAUUUCUUUGAUUUUUGUCUUGAAAGUUUCCCUGGAACAUUCCUAAGCUUCCAGUGAAAAAAUCAAGCAAAUCCAUGCACUAGAACCUUUUUUAUCCAGACUUUUCCGAGGCAUGUCAUGUAUGCAAGAAAUUUAUAACCCUUGGAUAACUUGGGUCAUAACUUAGGUUCCGGUACUCAGAUUGCUUUGAUUUUUGUCUUAAAAGUUUCCUUGGAACAUUCCUAAGCUUCCAGUGCAAAAAUCAAGGAAAUUGAUGCACUAGAACCUUUUUUAUCCAGACUUUUCCGAGGCAUGUCAUGUAUAUGAGAAGAAAUUAGUAACCCUUGGAUAACUUGGGUCAUAACUUAGGUUCCAGUACUCAGAUUGCUCUCAUUUUUGUUUUAAAAGUUUCCCUGGAACAUUCCUAAGGUUCCAGUCAAAAAAUCAAGCAAAUCCGUGUACUAGAACGUUUUUUAUCCAGACUUUCCCAAGGCAUGUCAUGUAUAUGAGAAGAAAUUAGUAACUCUUGGAUAACUUGGGUCAUAACUUAGGUUCCAGUACUUAGAUUGCUUUCAUUUUUGUUUUAAAAGUUUCCCUCGAACAUUCCUAAGCUUCCAGUGAAAAAAUCAAGCAAAUCCAUGCACUAGAACCUUUUUUAUCCAGACUUUUCAAUGCAAGUCAUGUAUGCAAGAAGAAAUUUAUAACCCUUGGAUAACUUGGGUCAUAACUUAGGUUCUAGUGCUCAGAUUGCUUUCAUUUUUGUUUUAAAAGUUUCCCUGGAACAUUCCUAAGCUUCCAGUAAAAGAAUCAAGCAAAUCCGUGCACUAGAACCUUUUUUAUCCAGACUUUUCUAUGGCAUGUCAUGUAUGCAAGAAGAAAUUUACAACGCUUAGAUAACUUGGGACAUAACUUGGGUUCCAGUACUCAGAUUUCUUUCAUUUUUGUCUUAAAAGUUUCCCUGGAACAUUCCUAAGCUUCCAGUGA